GGGGCCGUAGCGCAGCGGUUGUCGCGCCGCCUUAUCAAGGCGGAGGACGCCGGUUCGACUCCGGUCGGUCUCA
rnacentral:tRNA from 1 species